UGGUUUCUGAAGCACCACCAGACCGUCGACAGCGUCCUUAGCAACCUCGGCGGCUGAGCCGCUCACGUUGCGUCCACCGUCUCCAGGGAAGUUCUGCAAUCUCUGGCUGACAGCUGACCUCCACCUGUGUGCCAGGCAGCUUUCCACCACCGUCUUUACUCGCGAGUAGGGCACCCUCCCCAAAGGAUAACAUCAGCCGUCAUCGUUCAAGAAACCAUGUAUCUCAAGUGGCUUUUUAAGGGGCUCAAGGCAGGGAAGAUACGAUGAGCGUUUAUUAAGAUUUCCUUAAAGCUUUCUGUCCACAAUGCAACAAAAUAAGAGAAACCAAUCUAAAUUAAAAACUAAAGCAAAGAGAGAAAAGAAAAGAAAAAGACCUAAGGAAGAGAAGAGAAAUAAAAAUGACUUGUGAUUUUCCAUCUCUCAGUUACAUAAAAGACUCUAGAAUGAGACCCAACAGAUCUAUUUUCGAUUAGGCGAUCUUUUCCCAAUCUUCUGACCCCAAUAUAAUUAAUUUUCCUUUUUAUUUCUUAUUAAUAAAUGUCAGCAAUAGUUUUCCUA